rnacentral:piRNA from 1 species
UCACCGAGGUUAUCUGUGAGGGAGCC